rnacentral:rRNA from 1 species
UACGUAGGUGGCAAGCGUUGUCCGGAAUUAUUGGGCGUAAAGCGCGCGCAGGUGGUUCCUUAAGUCUGAUGUGAGAGCCCACGGCUCAACCGUGGAGGGUCAUUGGAAACUGGGGAACUUGAGUGCAGAAGAGGAAAGUGGAAUUCCAAGUGUAGCGGUGAAAUGCGUAGAGAUUUGGAGGAACACCAGUGGCGAAGGCGACUUUCUGGUCUGUAACUGACACUGAGGCGCGAAAGCGUGGGGAGCAAACAGG